rnacentral:rRNA from 1 species
UACAUGCAAGUCGAGCGAAUCGAUGGGAGCUUGCUCCCUGAGAUUAGCGGCGGACGGGUGAGUAACACGUGGGCAACCUGCCUAUAAGACUGGGAUAACUUCGGGAAACCGGAGCUAAUACCGGAUACGUUCUUUUCUCGCAUGAGAGAAGAUGGAAAGACGGU